rnacentral:rRNA from 1 species
GAUGAACGCUGGCGGCGUGCCUAAUACAUGCCAGUCGAGCGAACGGACGAGAAGCUUGCUUCUCUGAUGUUAGCGGCGGACGGGUGAGUAACACGUGGAUAACCUACCUAUAAGACUGGGAUAACUUCGGGAAACCGUAGCUAAUACCGGAUAAUAUUUUGAACCGCAUGGUUCAAAAGUGAAAGACGGUCUUGCUGUCACUUAUAGAUGGAUCCGCGCUGCAUUAGCUAGUUGGUAAGGUAACGGCUUACCAAGGCAACGAUGCAUAGCCGACCUGAGAGGGUGAUCGGCCACACUGGAACUGAGACACGGUCCAGACUCCUACGGGAGGCAGCAGUAGGGAAUCUUCCGCAAUGGGCGAAAGCCUGACGGAGCAACGCCGCGUGAGUGAUGAAGGUCUUCGGAUCGUAAAACUCUGUUAUUAGGGAAGAACAUAUGUGUAAGUAACUGUGCACAUCUUGACGGUACCUAACCAGAAAGCCACGGCUAACUACGUG